UCUGUUCUAUAAUAUAAUGUAUCAAGUAACACAUUAAUAGAGUGAGCUUAAACCAAGUGAAUCACUGAUUGAACUCGAGUGGUUAAUAAACUUCAGUACAGAUCAAAUCAAUGAACACUAACUAUAACAAUAUCUUUCAGACUUUACUUAUCCCUCGAGGACCAUUUCAACACUAGUUACAACAAUAUAAUAUAUUGUAUGGUUGUUGGAAAAUCUAUUUCUUUCUACAUCUCUGUCUCUUCCAAACAUCUAUUGUCAUUUGCCGCAAAAAUUUGCAUGUCAUCACACAUUAGCAGCAUUCUAAAAUUAUCAACUCACCAAAUGAUUGAAAUAUUCAAACCUUGGGGGAUUUUAAUAACACUUUACUCAUCUUGAGACUAUACAAUAUUAUCAAUAUAUAAUUAAAAUGACAUAACAUCUGACAUUAAGAAACAA
rnacentral:lncRNA from 1 species